rnacentral:rRNA from 1 species
AUUGAACGCUGGCGGCAGGCUUAACACAUGCAAGUCGAGCGGAGAUGAGGUGCUUGCACCUUAUCUUAGCGGCGGACGGGUGAGUAAUGCUUAGGAAUCUGCCUAUUAGUGGGGGACAACAUUCCGAAAGGAAUGCUAAUACCGCAUACGUCCUACGGGAGAAAGCAGGGGAUCUUCGGACCUUGCGCUAAUAGGUGAGCCUAAGUCGGAUUAGCUAGUUGGUGGGGUAAAGGCCUACCAAGGCGACGAUCUGUAGCGGGUCUGAGAGGAUGAUCCGCCACACUGGGACUGAGACACGGCCCAGACUCCUACGGGGGGCAGCAGUGGGGAAUAUUGGACAAUGGGGGGAACCCUGAUCCAGCCAUGCCGCGUGUGUGAAGAAGGCCUUAUGGUUGUAAAGCACUUUAAGCGGGGAGGAGGCUACUGAGACUAAUACUCUUGGAUAGUGGACGUUACUCGCAGAAUAAGCACCGGCUAACUCUGUGCCAGCCGCCGCAGUAA